UAGGGAAUAUUGCGCAAUGGGGGAAACCCUGACGCAGCGAUGCCGCGUGAGUGAAGAAGGCCUUAGGGUUGUAAAACUCUUUCAGUGGUGAAGAUAAUGACGGUAACCACAGAAGAAGCUCCGGCUAACUCCGUGCCAGCAGCCGCGGUAAUACGGAGGGGGCUAACGUUGUUCGGAAUUACUGGGCGUAAAGCGCGCGUAGGCGGAUUAGACAGUUGGGGGUGAAAUCCCGGAGCUUAACUUCGGAACUGCCUUCAAUACUACUAAUCUAGAGUUCGGAAGAGGUGAGUGGAAUUCCUAGUGUAGAGGUGAAAUUCGUAGAUAUUAGGAAGAACAUCAGAGGCGAAGGCGGCUCACUGGUCCGAUACUGACGCUGAGGUGCGAAAGCGUGGGGAGCAAACAGG
rnacentral:rRNA from 1 species